AACGUAGGUACCGAGCGUUAUCCGGAUUUACUGGGCGUAAAGGGCGCGUAGGCGGUAGCACAAGUCAGUUGUGAAAUCUCCGGGCUUAACUCGGAAAGGUCAACUGAUACUGUGCGACUAGAGUGCAGAAGGGGCAACUGGAAUUCUCGGUGUAGCGGUGAAAUGCGUAGAUAUCGAGAGGAACACCAGUGGCGAAGGCGGCUCACUGGACCGGAACUGACGCUGAUGCGCGAAAGCGUGGGGAGCAAACGGG
rnacentral:rRNA from 1 species